AAUGUAAAAAUAAAAGUAUAUGUUGUAUCGGUCAUGAUCGUGUAUUGUUUGUUCGUUAUUUCUUUUUUAAAUUGUUUUUAUAUCGCUGUGUUUUGUUCCGCGAGUGACUGUUUUCUCCGGAAGACGCGGAAGUGAAAGCUCCACCCGAACCGGAAACGAAGGAAUGUUUGGAUUGACCGCCGCGUUUGCCUGAACUUUGUAUUGUGUGCUAUCAACACCCGAGCUAAGUUAGCAGCUAGUUACGUUGCUCUAGCACGAAAGAUGUUAUUGUUUAUUGUUCACACGCGCGUGGGCGUUCACAAUGAAAGAACGUGGUUGCGACGUCAGCUGCUGUCCAUCCAAAUCAGGUGCAGACACUUUGUCACAGGAUGACGGAGUUUGGGAUGAACAGAUGGAAGCUUCGUGUGGACGUGUAGUUCAAGUGGCAAACAUUUAAGUAACAAGCAGGAGGACCGAUGAGUCUGAGAAGUGGUCAGCCGAAGAGGACAGCCUGGACGCCUGC